GACCAAAAAAGGAGACAUCUGAUAAAAUUGGAAUGAUACAGAGAAGAUUGGCAUGGCCCUUGCACAAGGAUGACACACACAAAUCGAGAAAUGGUCCAAUUUUUU
rnacentral:snRNA from 1 species